AUGGUUCUGAUCCGCUAUGAUGUUCGGUUCCUCAUCGAGACUCCCCUUCCUCCCAAUGCCAAUCCCUCCCUUCUCGAGCUCGACGCCCAUGUCGUUCUCUAGAUCUACGCCACCCUCUCGGAUACCAUGGUCGAUCACGUGGUCGGCGCUGAUUCCACCUUCGCCCUUUGGAAGAAGAUCAAAGAUUUCUUCCUCGCCAACCGGGCUGCCCGGUUUAUGAUCCUCAACCGGCAGUAUUGUAACCUCAAACAAGGGGAUCUCUCUGCUUCUAAAUAUGCCUAUCGCAUGAAACUACUCACCGACGCCCUCGCUGACAUCGAACACGCCGUCACCGAGACUGACCUCACCACCCAAUUCCUUCAUGGUCUUGACAAGCACCUCGACACCAUUCGCGUCGUUCUUGGUGACCAAGGGCUCCCCUUCGACACGGUUCUUUCCCGGGUCAUCCUGGCAAAGGAAUCACAGGCGCAACACGCCACCGAGGAGAGUACCUCGGCGUUUGCCUUCCCCGGUGGUGACCGUGGCCAAGGCAGCUGCUCUGGGACGGGCGCUCGUGGCUCCAGUGACCGCGGCCAAAGCAGUGGAUCCUCCUCCGAUCGCGCCCAGGGCCCUCCUCAUCAGCACCAGCAACCCUCUAGAUGUGUUCGUGAAAGCACAAGUGCUCCCUGGGUGGUUUUGGUAAUUAAUGUCAACAUAUCUCUUGUUGGACUAACACUUUUACCUAGUAUGUUUCAGACAAGUUCAACAAUGGAGUGGCAUGGACUAAGGGAUGUGGAACCCCUUCAAGAUGCUAAGGACAAAGGAUUGGCUCAAGCUUCAAGCUCAAGACUCCACAUUUUAUAUUUUAGUGAUCCAAGAUCACAUUGA
rnacentral:rRNA from 1 species